rnacentral:rRNA from 1 species
AUUGAACGCUGGCGGCAGGCUUAACACAUGCAAGUCGAGCGGGGUGAUGGUGCUUGCACUAUCACUUAGCGGCGGACGGGUGAGUAAUGCUUAGGAAUCUGCCUAUUAGUGGGGGACAACAUCUCGAAAGGGAUGCUAAUACCGCAUACGUCCUACGGGAGAAAGCAGGGGAUCACUUGUGACCUUGCGCUAAUAGAUGAGCCUAAGUCGGAUUAGCUAGUUGGUGGGGUAAAGGCCUACCAAGGCGACGAUCUGUAGCGGGUCUGAGAGGAUGAUCCGCCACACUGGGAAUGAGACACGGCCCAGACUCCUACGGGAGGUAGCAGUGGGGAAUAUUGGACAAUGGGGGGAACCCUGAUCCAGCCAUGCCGCGUGUGUGAAGAAGGCCUUAUGGUUGUAAAGCACUUUAAGCGAGGAGGAGGCUCUUUUGGUUAAUACCCAAGAUGAGUGGACGUUACUCGCAGAAUAAGCACCGGCUAACUCUGUGCCAGCAGCCGCCGUAA